rnacentral:rRNA from 1 species
AACGAACGCUGGCGGCAUGCCUAACACAUGCAAGUCGAACGAAGGCUUCGGCCUUAGUGGCGCACGGGUGCGUAACGCGUGGGAAUCUGCCCCUCGGUUCGGAAUAACAGUUAGAAAUGACUGCUAAUACCGGAUGAUGACUUCGGUCCAAAGAUUUAUCGCCGAGGGAUGAGCCCGCGUAGGAUUAGCUAGUUGGUGGGGUAAUGGCCUACCAAGGCGACGAUCCUUAGCUGGUCUGAGAGGAUGAUCAGCCACACUGGGACUGAGACACGGCCCAGACUCCUACGGGAGGCAGCAGUGGGGAAUAUUGGACAAUGGGCGCAAGCCUGAUCCAGCCAUGCCGCGUGAGUGAUGAAGGCCUUAGGGUUGUAAAGCUCUUUCGCCGACGAAGAUAAUGACGGUAGUCGGAGAAGAAGCCCCGGCUAACUUCGUGCCAGCAGCCGCAGUAAGAC